UACGGAGGGUGCAAGCGUUAUACGGAAUCACUGGGUUUAAAGGGUGCUUAGGCGGCUAAAUAAGUCAGAGGUGAAAGCUUGCAGCUUAACUGCGAAAUUGCCCUUGAUACUGUAUAGCUUGAAAGGAGCUGAGGUCAGCAGAAUGUGGCAUGUAGCGGUGAAAUGCAUAGAUAUGCCAUAGAAUCCCAAUUGCGAAGGCAGCUGGCUGGGCUUACUUUGACUCUGAGGCAGGAAAGCGUGGGGAUCGAACAGG
rnacentral:rRNA from 1 species